GUUAAGUUAAAGUGAGGUCAUUAGGGUGGACCCCUUAAUCCAUGAUGACUAAUCCAAUACAAUGUCCUGGUAAUAGGGAGAGAUUUAGACAAAGAGACACAUAGGCACACAGGCAGAAUGCCCUGUGAAGAUGAAGGUGGAGAUUGCGAUAGGGCUUCUAUAAGCCAAGAAAUGCCAAGAAUUGCCAGCAAACCACCAGAAGUUAGGGGAGAGGCACAGCUUCUUCCCCAGAGCUCUCAGAAGGAACCAGCCCUGUGGACAUCUUGAUCUCAGACUUUAAGGCUCCGGAACUAACGUGGCUGCCAGGUGGGCAACGACUUUGCUCCUUUCUUUCAUUGCUGUGAACAUUGCCAACAACAGUACUUGGCACAUAAUACCUGCCCAGUAAAUGCUACAUGGAUGAAUAAUGAAUACACAUAUGAAUGAAUUGACUUUCUUUACAGGUAGCCUGACUACAAAUUGCAGAGACCAGGCAGACCUGGGCAACCCCAAACAGAAGUCGUGUCAUCUGGCUUUGGCAACUUCCUCUCCUCUGUGACUGUGAGAACAGAAAUAGAGACUCACAGACUCUCGGAGUAGAUGGGAACUUAGAGGUCAGUGGGCCUGGACUUCCUCAAUGCUGCCAGUCAGUUGAUAUGCCUAUAGAACACCUACUCUGUGCCAGAUGCUGGAAUGGGUGCUGGAAGGGGUAGGACCAAGGUGCUGAACAAGACACUCUGGCUAACCCCGUGUAGGAAGGCAGGGAGGCAGAUAAGAGGUUGGGAUGCCCAGAUAAAUAUAGUGAGGUUGAACG